GAUGAAGAACGUAGCGAAAUGCGAUACGUAAUGUGAAUUGCAGAAUUCAGUGAAUCAUCGAAUCUUUGAACGCACAUUGCGCCCGCCAGUAUUCUGGCGGGCAUGCCUGUUCGAGCGUCAUUUCAACCCUCAAGCACAGCUUGGUGUUGGGACUCGCGUUAAUUCGCGUUCCCCAAAUUGAUUGGCGGUCACGUCGAGCUUCCAUAGCGUAGUAGUAAAACCCUCGUUACUGGUAAUCGUCGCGGCCACGCCGUUAAACCCCAACUUCUGAAUGUUGACCUCGGAUCAGGUAGGAAUACCCGCUGAACUUAAGCAUAUCAAUAGCGGAGGA
rnacentral:misc_RNA from 1 species